rnacentral:tRNA from 1 species
GUGCCCGUAGCUCAGUUGGUAGAGCAAGUGACUCUUAAUCACUGGGUCCACGGUUCGAGUCCGUGCGGGCGCACCA